rnacentral:rRNA from 1 species
UACAGAGGGUGCAAGCGUUAAUCGGAAUUACUGGGCGUAAAGCGUGCGUAGACGGUUAUGUAAGUCGGGUGUGAAAGCCCCGGGCUCAACCUGGGAAUUGCAUUCGAGACUGUGUAGCUAGGGUACGGAAGAGGGAAGCGGAAUUUCAGGUGUAGCGGUGAAAUGCGUAGAUAUCUGAAGGAACACCAGUGGCGAAAGCGGCUUCCUGGUCCAGUACCGACGUUCAGGCACGAAGAACGUGGGGAGCAAACAGG